rnacentral:tRNA from 1 species
AGCUGAGAUGGCAGAAAGUGCGGUAGGUUGUAGCCCUAAUAAUAUGAUAAGUUAUCGUUCUCGGUA